rnacentral:rRNA from 1 species
GAUGAACGCUGGCGGUGUGCCUAAUACAUGCAAGUCGUACGCAUUCUCGUUUCUGAUUGACGGUGCUUGCACCUAAUUGACGAGACAUUGGAAUGAGUGGCGGACGGGUGAGUAACACGUGGGUAACCUGCCCAGAAGCGGGGGAUAACAUUUGGAAACAGAUGCUAAUACCGCAUAAAAGUCAAAACCACAUGGUUUUGAUUUAAAAGAUGGUCUUUGUGCUAUCACUUCUGGAUGGACCCGCGGCGUAUUAGCUAGUUGGUAAGGUAACGGCUUACCAAGGGAAUGAUACGUAGCCGAACUGAGAGGUUGAUCGGCCACAAUGGGACUGAGACACGGCCCAUACUCCUACGGGAGGCAGCAGUAGGGAAUCUUCCACAAUGGGCGCAAGCCUGAUGGAGCAACACCGCGUGAGUGAAGAAGGGUUUCGGCUCGUAAAACUCUGUUGUUAAAGAAGAACGUAUCUAAGAGUAACCGCUUAGGUAGUGACGGUAUUUAACCAGAAAGCCACGGCUAACUACGUGCCAGCCGCCGCCGUAA